CAAACUCAAUUUACACAAUUUCAUAAUUUAAUUAUAUCAAUUCCUCUCUCUCGAUCUACAGUUUAUUCCUAUAAAUGUAGGAGACAGAGAAAAUGAGAAGAACCCAAAAAGCAGGAGCAAGGAGAAGUUCAAUAUUAUUAUUAAAGAGAGUAACUUGAUGGAUAGGCAAAAGAGGUGAGACAUACUUUACAAACCUUCAUCCGCAAAUGUUUUAAACCUUCAUCUGCAAAUGUUUCAGACCUUCUUCUGCAAAUGUUUUAUUAGUAAAGAGGGCAACUUGAUGGAUUGGCCAAAGAAGUG
rnacentral:lncRNA from 1 species